GGAAAGGUGUAGCUCACUGUUGGUUGAGCAUCUGCUUUGGAAGCAGAAGGUCUCAGGUUCAAGUCCUGGUACCUCCA